rnacentral:piRNA from 1 species
UGAGUGCUUACUAUGUGCCAGGCACUUUAAAA